UACGAAGGGGACUAGCGUUGUUCGGAAUCACUGGGCGUAAAGCGCACGUAGGCGGAUAUGUCAGUCAGGGGUGAAAUCCCGGGGCUCAACCUCGGAACUGCCUUUGAUACAGCAUAUCUUGAGUCCGAUAGAGGUGGGUGGAAUUCCUAGUGUAGAGGUGAAAUUCGUAGAUAUUAGGAAGAACACCGGUGGCGAAGGCGGCCCACUGGAUCGGUACUGACGCUGAGGUGCGAAAGCGUGGGGAGCAAACAGGA
rnacentral:rRNA from 1 species